rnacentral:tRNA from 1 species
GCCCCUAUAGUUUAACGGAUAGAACGCAACCUUGCGGAGGUUGAAAUCGAGGUUCAAUUCCUCGUGGGGGCA